rnacentral:tRNA from 1 species
GUUUAUAAAGUUUAUAAAAUAUUACGCUUUCAAUGUAAAGAGAUAUACUAUGUAUAUUAUAAAUA